AUGAUUUCAAGACCCUCAGCAGAAGUUUCCUGCUUACCCUCUGACACUUCUAAUAACUCCAUAAGAAGAUACACUGACCACUCAUCAUCAGAAAAUGAGAGACAUUUGGAGAAUAGCCAUGCCAGUAGAGCCCAGACUGAACUGCCAAGCCUUCAGAUGACCAACAGCCAGAUGAGGUGGUCAUAUCCAAAUCAGGCUUUAGCUGACCAGCUACCAAACAAAAGCUGCUACAAGCCAGCAAGCACACGUGCGAGGACUCUCACAUGGAGGGUGGCCGGCACCUCCUGCAUCACCCCCCACACUCUCAGAAUUCACCUUCCUUUCAGCACUGACAGAAUUUCCAAUUAUGUGAUUGUUGCAAAGAGUCUUGUUAAGUGCUUCAAAGGAGCUCCUUGUCUUGGCUUCCAGAAGUCCAUGGAAAGACGGCACAAAAAUAAAAUAAAGACGGACAACCUGCAAGACAGGAGACAGGAAAGGGCAAUUUGUCUUUAUCCUAGGGCUCUUCAAACACACAUUUAG
rnacentral:lncRNA from 1 species